AUGGACGCAAGUCUGAUGGAGCAACGCCGCGUGAGUGAAGAAGGGUUUCGGCUCGUAAAGCUCUGUUGGUAGUGAAGAAAGAUAGAGGUAGUAACUGGCCUUUAUUUGACGGUAAUUACUUAGAAAGUCACGGCUAACUACGUGCCAGCAGCCGCGGUAAUACGUAGGUGGCAAGCGUUGUCCGGAUUUAUUGGGCGUAAAGCGAGUGCAGGCGGUUCAAUAAGUCUGAUGUGAAAGCCUUCGGCUCAACCGGAGAAUUGCAUCAGAAACUGUUGAACUUGAGUGCAGAAGAGGAGAGUGGAACUCCAUGUGUAGCGGUGGAAUGCGUAGAUAUAUGGAAGAACACCAGUGGCGAAGGCGGCUCUCUGGUCUGCAACUGACGCUGAGGCUCGAAAGCAUGGGUAGCGAACAGGAUUAGAUACCCUGGUAGUCCAUGCCGUAAACGAUGAGUGCUAAGUGUUGGGAGGUUUCCGCCUCUCAGUGCUGCAGCUAACGCAUUAAGCACUCCGCCUGGGGAGUACGACCGCAAGGUUGAAACUCUAAGGAAUUGACGGGGGCCCGCACAAGCGGUGGAGCAUGUGGUUUAAUUCGAAGCAACGCGAAGACCUUACCAGGUCU
rnacentral:rRNA from 1 species